GUGCUCACUUCGGCAGCACAUAUACUAAAAUUGGAAUGAAACAGAGGAGAUCAGCAGGGCCCCAUGUCCAAUGAUGACAUGGGAAUGUGUGAAGCAUUUCAUAUUUUU
ensembl:snRNA U6 U6 spliceosomal RNA